rnacentral:rRNA from 1 species
CCUACGGGUGGCAGCAGUGGGGGAUAUUGCACAAUGGGGGGAACCCUGAUGCAGCGACGCCGCGUGGGUGAAGGAGCGUUUCGGCGCGUAAAGCCCUAUCGGCAGGGAAGAAGGAGGACGGUACCUGACUAAGAAGCCCCGGCUAACUACGUGCCAGCAGCCGCGGUAAUACGUAGGGGGCAAGCGUUAUCCGGAUUUACUGGGUGUAAAGGGUGCGUAGGCGGCUUGGCAAGUCAGUAGUGAAAUCCCUGGGCUUAACCCAGGAACUGCUUUUGAAACUGUGGAGCUUGAGUGAAGUAGAGGUAGGUGGAAUUCCUGGUGUAGCGGUGAAAUGCGUAGAUAUUAGGAGGAACACCAGUGGCGAAGGCGGCCUACUGGGCAUUAACUGACGCUGAGGCACGAAAGCGUGGGGAGCAAACAGGAUUAGAUACCCUUGUAGUC